ACAUGCAGUCGAGCGGUAGUACAGAGAGUUUGUCUCGGGUGACGAGCGGAGGACGGGUGAGUAAUGUCUGGGAAACUGCCUGAUGGAGGGGGAUAACUACUGGAAACGGUAGCUAAUACCGCAUAACGUCGCAAGACCAAAGUGGGGGACCUUCGGGCCUCAUGCCAUCAGAUGUGCCCAGAUGGGAUUAGCUAGUAGGUGGGGUAACGGCUCACCUAGGCGACGAUCCCUAGCUGGUCUGAGAGGAUGACCAGCCACACUGGAACUGAGACACGGUCCAGACUCCUACGGGAGGCAGCAGUGGGGAAUAUUGCACAAUGGGCGCAAGCCUGAUGCAGCCAUGCCGCGUGUGUGAAGAAGGCCUUCGGGUUGUAAAGCACUUUCAGCGGGGAGGAAGGCGUUAAGGUUAAUAACCUCGCCGAUUGACGUUACCCGCAGAAGAAGCACCGGCUAACUCCGUGCCAGCA
rnacentral:rRNA from 1 species